AGGAAGGAGAAGUCGUAACAAGGUUUCCGUAGGUGAACCUGCGGAAGGAUCAUUGUCGAGACCAAAAAAAUAUAUCGAGUGAUUCAGACAACCCGUGAAAUGGGAGAAUGACCAUCCAGGCCAUCGCCCCCCGACUCUCUUAUGGAGAAAGGNGCGCGAUGGAGGAUGGAUGAACCACAAACCGGCGCAGCAUCGCGCCAAGGAAUGAUUGAGAUCCACGAGCUCUGUGUUGGGCUCGGUGGCGUGGAGCGCUAUAGCGCGCCAUGCGGUUAGGCACGACUCUCGGCAAUGGAUAUCUCGGCUCUUGCAUCGAUGAAGAGCGCAGCGAAAUGCGAUACGUGGUGCGAAUUGCAGAAUCCCGCGAACCAUCGAGUAUUUGAACGCAAGUUGCGCCCGAGGCCAGCCGGCCAAGGGCACGUCCGCCUGGGCGUCAACCGUUGCGUCGCUCCGUGCUAGUCGUCCCACUUAUUGGUUUAUUGGCUAGGCUCGGAAGCGUAGAGUGGCCCGUCGCGACUGUCGGUGCGGCGGGCUGAAGAUCGGGUUUCGUCUCACCGGUCACGAACAACAAGGGGUGGGUGAUAUCUCUGAUCGCAGCCUGCGUUGUCUCGUGCCUGUCCUAGAGAUUGAUUUUUCCUUUAAUGUGAUCCCCGACCACGCCUUGAUGGGCAUACGACGGCUUGGAAAGUGACCCCAGGAUGGGCGAGGCCACCCGCUGAAUUUAAGCAUAUCAAUA
rnacentral:rRNA from 1 species